UCUGUUUGAUCCUGGCUCAGAAUGAAUGCUGGCGGCAUGGAUUAGGCAUGCAAGUUGAACGAGAAAUUCACUUCGGUGAAUGGAAAGUAGCGAAAGGGUGAGUAACGCGUGAAUUAUCUACCUCUAAGUUUGGAAUAACAGUUGGAAACGACUGCUAAUACCGGAUGUGAAUAUAAGGUCGCCUGGCCUAAUAUUUAAAGAUUUAUCGCUUAGAGAUGAGUUCGCGUGCCAUUAUGCUAGUUGGUAAGGUAAAAGCUUACCAAGGCUAUGACGGCUAGGUGGUCUGAGAGGACGAUCACCCACACUGGGACUGAGACACUGCCCAGACUCCUGCGGGAGGCUGCAGUCGAGAAUCUUCCGCAAUGCGCGAAAGCGUGACGGAGCAAUGCCGCGUGAUCGAAGAAGGCCUUCGGGUUGUAAAGAUCUGUCAGGGGGGAAAAACAAUGAUGGUACCCCCAGAGGAAGCCACGGCUAACUACGUGCCAGCAGCCGCGGUAAUACGUAGGUGGCGAGCAUUAUUCGGAAUUACUGGGCGUAAAGGGUCCGCAGGGGGUUUACUUAGUCAGAUGUGAAAUUUCAGGGCUUAACUCUGAACGUGCAUUUGAAACUGGUAGACUAGAGUAUGUGAGAGGUGAGCGGAAUUUGUGGUGUAGCGGUGGAAUGCGUAGAUAUCACAAGGAAGGCCAAAGGCGAAAGCAGCUCACUGGCACAAUACUGACCCUCAUGGACGAAGGCUAAGGUAGCGAAAAGGAUUAGAUACCCUUGUAGUCUUAGCAGUAAACGCUGUACACUCGAUGUUGGUCUGGUUAGUCGGAUCAGUGUCUAAGCUAACGCGAUAAGUGUACCGCCUGGGAAGUACGGUCGCAAGACUAAAACUCAAAGGAAUUGACGGGGGCCCGCACAAGCGGUGGAGCAUGUGGCUUAAUUCGAGGCAACGCGAAGAACCUUACCUGGUCUUGACAUGCCCGUUAAAGUUUUCCGAAAGGAAUUCGUCAGUUCGGCUGGACGGUGCACAGGUGCUGCAUGGCUGUCGUCAGCUCGUGUCGUGAGAUGUUCGGUUAAGUCCGGCAACGAGCGCAACCCUCGUUCCUAGUUGCCAGCGGGUAAUGCCGGGGACUCUAGGAAGACAAACCUCGUGUAGAGGUGGGAAGGUGGGGACGACGUCAAGUCAGUAUGGCCCUUACGACCAGGGCUGCACACGUGCUACAAUGCCCGGUACAAUGGGAUGCAAUACCGCGAGGUUGAGCAAAUCCACAAAACCGGGCCCAGUUCGGAUUGGAGUCUGCAACUCGACUCCAUGAAGUUGGAAUCGCUAGUAAUGGCGCAUCAGCUACGGCGCCGUGAAUACGUUCCCGGGCCUUGUACACACCGCCCGUCACAUCAUGAAAGCCGGUUUUGCCCGAAGUGCGUUUGCCAACCAGCAAUGGAGGCGACGCCCUAAGGUGAGGCUGGUGAUUGGGAUGAAGUCGUAACAAGGUAGCCGUCC
rnacentral:rRNA from 1 species